GGUCCUGGAGAAAUAUCCUAAUACACCUAUGAGCCAUAAAGAAAUUCUUCAAGUUAUCCAGAAAGAAGGACUUAAAGAAAUCAGAAGUGGGACUUCUCCUCUUGCAUGCCUGAAUGCUAUGUUACAUACAAACUCCCGAGGGGAAGAGGGCAUUUUCUAUAAGGUCCCGGGGCGGAUGGGAGUGUACACG